UGUUAAAAUUUUCAUCUAUUUUUUUUGUUAAAAACUUGCAUGGAUGAUAAAAUAACUACGAAGUCGCACGUGUACUUCAUUUUGACGAACAUUGAUUAAUUUUUAAAAGUAAAAAUAGAUAAAAUUUUAACA
rfam:Gossypium raimondii Chr07_contig_25, whole genome shotgun sequence.